rnacentral:rRNA from 1 species
CACGUAGUUAGCCGUCCCUUUCUGGUAAGAUACCGUCACAGUGUGAACUUUCCACUCUCACACUCGUUCUUCUCUUACAACAGAGCUUUACGAUCCGAAAACCUUCUUCACUCACGCGGCGUUGCUCGGUCAGACUUCCGUCCAUUGCCGAAGAUUCCCUACUGCUGCCUCCCGUAGGAGUCUGGGCCGUGUCUCAGCCCCAGUGUGGCCGAUCACCCUCUCAGGUCGGCUAUGUAUCGUCGCCUUGGUGAGCCGUUACCCCACCAACUAGCUAAUACAACGCAGGUCCAUCUGGUAGUGAUGCAAUUGCACCUUUUAAGCAAAUGUCAUGCAACAUCUACUGUUAUGCGGUAUUAGCUAUCGUUUCCAAUAGUUACUCCCCCGCUACCAGGCAGGUUACCUACGCGUUACUCACCCGUUCGCAACUCAUCCAGAGAAGCAAGCUCCUCCUUCAGCGUUCUACUUGCUAUGUAUUAGGCACCGCCGCCAGCGUCGUCC